rnacentral:lncRNA from 1 species
CUGCUUGGUUUGGAAAGGACAACUCAGUGAUAUAUAUCAACUCUUCGGACACAUGCCUAGUGAAUCACCCACCUCGACGAGCCAUCACCUUGAUCCUGCUCAUCGAAACUGAUCGUUACUCGUUGCAUCGAUACCCCGAGGACUCUUAAAUUAGCGUGGCGGAUGCGCUCUUCCGUGGCGGUUUGAAAUCGUUGCCUCUGCC